AUAAUUUUAUAAAAUGAAUAUUAAUAAUAAUAUAGUAAA
rnacentral:rRNA from 1 species